rnacentral:rRNA from 1 species
GACGAAGGGUGCAAGCGUUAUCCGGAUUUAUUGGGUUUAAAGGGCGCGUAGGUGGUCUUAUAAGUCAGUGGUGAAAUCUCUGGGCUUAACCCAGAAAUUGCCAUUGAUACUGUAUGACUUGAGUAUAGUUGCCGUUGGCGGAAUAUGACAUGUAGUGGUGAAAUACAUAGAGAUGUCAUAGAACACCGAUUGCGAAGGCAGCUAACGAAACUAUAACUGACACUGAGGCUCGAAAGUGCGGGGAUCAAACAGG